CAGAUGUCAAAAAUUUUGGAGCUCUUCAGGAAUUCCUUGUUCUGAAUGGGCUUUUCCCCAGGCACCCAGACCACAGACUGCUCAAAAGAGCAGCUGGACUUCACCUGCCUUGGCUCAUGGUGCUCAGGGGAUGCACGGGCAAUGCCCAACAGCCCUCGCCACCCUGCUCUCCUCUCCCUUACUUCAUCACCCCAGACCUUUACCUGCACAGUCCCCACUGUCUGGAAGAGCCUUCUGGAGCCCCCCUGGUCGUUUAAAACACAAGAUUAAAACACCUCUGCUCUA